rnacentral:rRNA from 1 species
CUCAACCUGAACUCAGUCGUGAUUACCCGCUGAACUUAAGCAUAUCAUUUAGCGGAGGAAAAGAAACUAAAAAGGAUUCCCUUAGUAACGGCGAGUGAAACGGGAAGAGCCCAGCGCCGAAUCGAUCAGUCUUUGGCUGCUUCGAAAUGUGGCGUAUAGGUGUAAGUUUCCAGCAGUGUCGUAUGUCCGAAGUCCUUACGAUUGAGGCCAUAAACCAGAGAGGGUGCGAGCCCCGUUCUGGAUAGCGGCACUGUUGGUUCGCUUGCUCCUUGGAGUCGGGUUGCUUGAAAGUGCAGCCUAAAGUGGGUGAUAAACUUCAUCUAAGGCUAAAUAUCGACUCGAUUGCGAUAGCGAACAAGUACCGUGAGGGAAAGUUGCAAAGGACUUUGAAGAGAGAGUUCAAGAGAACGUGAAAUCGCUGGAGUGGAACCGGAGACAGUUGAUGUUGCUUGGAGACAAGCUUGGUGACUGGUCGCUUAGUUGUGAUCGUUGCCGGGUGUCGUUUCCUAUGCUACGCCGACGGCGUUGGCUGCUCGUUCUAGCCCGACAGUGUUGCCCAUCUCGCAAGAGAAGGUGUCUUGCUGGCGGUAGUGGGUUCGUGGCGGCUAGCGUUUAGUUACGCUAGUGUGUGUGACGUCGGUGUGAAAGUCGACGACGUUUCCGACCCGUCUUGAAACACGGAUUGCGGAGUGCUUGUCUACUGCGAGUCAAAGGGUGUUAAAACCUUGCGGCGAAAUGAAAGUAAAGGUCAGUCUCGAAUUGGCCGACGUGGGAUCUGUGUUCUUCGGAGUGCAGCGCACCACGGCCCUGUGCGUGUCACUUGUGACUGUGCAGAGGUUGAGCAGUUGGCAAACGACCCGAAAGAUGGUGAACUAUGCCUGAGCAGGAUGAAGCCAGAGGAAACUCUGGUGGAAGUCCGUAUCGGUUCUGACGUGCAAAUCGAUCGAUAGACUUGGGUAUAGGGGCGAAAGACUAAUCGAACCAUCUAGUAGCUGGUUCCUUCCGAAGUUUCCCUCAGGAUAGCUGGAUCUCAGGCAGUUAUAUUCGGUAAAGCUAAUGAUUAGAGGCCUUGGGGACGUAAUGUCCUCAACCUAUUCUCAAACUUUCAAUGGAUAUGAAGUUGCAGUUUCUUUAGUGAACUGUCAACGUGAAUGCGAGGUCCAAGUGGGCCAUUUUUGGUAAGCAGAACUGGCGCUGUGGGAUGAACCAAACGUGGAGUUAAGGUGCCUAACUUCUCGCUCAUGAGACCCCAUAAAAGGUGUUGGUUGAUAUUGACAGCAGGACGGUGGCCAUGGAAGUCGGUAUCCGCUAAGGAGUGUGUAACAACUCACCUGCCGAAUCAACUAGCCCUGAAAAUGGAUGGCGCUUAAGCGAGAGACCUAUACUCCGCCGUUGCGACAUGUGCGUUGUCUAGCGCCAGGUCGUAACGAGUAGGAAGGUCGUGGCGGUUGCGUUGAAGGCUAUGAGCGUAGGCUCGGCUGGAGCUUCCGUCAGUGCAGAUCGUAAUGGUAGUAGCAAAUAUUCAAGUUCGAUCCUUGAAGACUGAAGUGGAGAAGGGUUCCACGUGAACAGUAGUUGGAUGUGGGUCAGUCGAUCCUAAGGUACUGGCGAACGCCUUGUAUCAUCGGUGGCGAAAAGCUUGCUUUUAGUCCCCGCUUGUCGAAAGGGAAUAGGGUUAAUAUUCCCUAACUGAGAUGCAAAGAUUGUGUUCUUCGGAGCACAAGCGCGGUAACGCAUUCGAACUUGGUUAGUCGCUCAAAGACCGAGCUAGAGUUUUCUUCUCUAGUUAAGGAACGGACUCCCUGGAAUUGGUUCAGCCAGAGAUGGGGACGUUGUUUCCGAAAAGCACCGCGGUUUCUGUGGUGUCUCGUGCUCUUUGAACGGCCCUUAAAACACCAAGGGAGGCUAUUAAUUUGCACUCAAUCGUACCGAUAUCCGCAUUAGGUCUCCAAGGUGAACAGCCUCUAGUCGAUAGAAUAAUGUAGGUAAGGGAAGUCGGCAAACUAGAUCCGUAACUUCGGGAAAAGGAUUGGCUCCAGUGGUUGGAACGGUUGGCCAGUUGGUUGAUGCUUGUCCGGCGCAGUUCUGUCUGCUUGAUACUUUCGGGUUGAUGGCGGACUAGUGAUUGUGCUUGCUUGCGGACGCUUUCUGGUGUGUGCUUGGACCUCGGUUCUAGUAUCCUGAUCGCUCAUCUAAACAACCGUACUGGAACCGGUACGGACUCAGGGAAUCCGACUGUCUAAUUAAAACAGAGGUGACAGAUGGUCCUUGCGGACGUUGACUGUCACUGAUUUCUGCCCAGUGCUCUGAAUGUUAAAUCGUAGUAAUUCGAGUAAGCGCGGGUAAACGGCGGGAGUAACUAUGACUCUCUUAAGGUAGCCAAAUGCCUCGUCAUUUAAUUGUUGACGCGCAUGAAUGGAUUAACGAGAUUCCUACUGUCCCUAACUACUUUCUAGCGAAACCACAGCCAAGGGAACGGGCUUGGCAAAAAUAGCGGGGA